UCUCCGCCACCACCGCCACCCGUCUACAUCUACGCGUCUCCUCCCCCUCCUCACUACUAGAGUACACUAAGCCUUUCCAAGGAAGCAAAAAGUGGACGUCAGAAAAUAAAUGGCACGUUGAUAAGAGGAUUAUGAUUUGGAACAGGGAAGCCUUGUUGCUGCUGCAGUGUGAUGAGUGUUGGAACUUUUUUUCUGUUGUUUAAUGUUUAGGAUUUGUCGUUUUUUCACUUCCCAAAAUUGUGUCUAUUUAUUACUUAUUAAUUAGUUGUAAUGCACUUACUGUAGCAGUCCACAUCCAAAACUAUAUAUUAUAAAAAUCUCUGCUUUGUAAAAUCAAAUCAAUUUCUGUAUUUGUAUAAUGUAAUGCUGCUGCUUCCUUUCUCCAACAAGCCCUUGGUUGUUGCAAAGUUUGCUCAUUUCCCCAUAACAAAAAAAAAAAAUUCUGUUUUUACUCUU